GGUGAAGAAGGAAGGAGGUUUAAUCAUGAAUGCUAUGUCUCCCUUGUUCCCUUCAUUCUCUUUCCAGUGGAUACACACAGGGACACACAGACACGCACACACGCACAUACAGAACCCGGAAACUGUGUCAGAGGUUCCAGUGCUGGACCCUGAAACGGAUGCUUUUGUUUCUGUCGUGUUUCCUCGUGACUUUACUUUUUGUGUGCUGCAAUUCUGUUGGGAAAAAGAACCUGAUUAUCUUCCAAAAUGUCUGACUCUAUUUUUUGUACAUGUUUUUUACUCUAUGGCAGGGUUAUGGAUUCUUCCCGAAUGUCGUCUGGCAACAGUGACAAGAUGGGAAAUGACCCCGAUGAACUGACAGAAAUAAUCUGUGAUGGAACCACCAACAAAAG